GUAAUUUUUAACAACGAGUAGAAGAUUCCAACAGACAUCAGACAUUCUAUUAUGCAAAUCAAACCUGUAAGAGUCAGAAUGUUCUUGAUGGCAUCAUCUGACCCAGUUUCAGGAGUUCGGAUGCGAGGAGUGAUGCUCCCUGUCGGAGAGGGUAAAGGAGAGAGAGGAGGUGAGGAGAACGUUUGCUUCACUCACCUGGGAUGAACUUCCGUUGGCUGAUGCCAGUUUCAUGGCUUUCAGGAUGCUGAAGAAGACACGACGAUACGUUAACCUUCUGACUUAUAGGCCAGCUGCCGCUUCAGCUCUGCGAUCUGAUUGGCCGAGGAGUCCUGGACUUCCUGUAAGGUGAACUGGAG